rnacentral:rRNA from 1 species
UACGUAGGGGGCUAGCGUUGUCCGGAAUCAUUGGGCGUAAGGCGCGCGUAGGCGGCCAGAUAAGUCCGGUGCGCAAGUCACAGGCUCAACCUGUGAAUGCCGCUGGAAACUGUCUGGCUAGAGUCCGGAAGGGGCGAGUGGAAUUCCUGGUGUAGCGGUGAAAUGCGCAGAUAUCAGGAGGAACACCAAUGGCGAAGGCAGCUCGCUGGGACGGUACUGACGCUGAGGCGCGAAAGCGUGGGGAGCAAACAGG